AUUACUGGAAAUAUUCAAAAAAAAUUCUUAAAUAUUGGUGAUAUUGAAAAUAGCAAACAGUUCUAUUCAAGAUGUUGGUUUUAGUGGUAAAAUUAAUUUUGGUGUCCCUUUACGCUGCCAAUGCCAAUUCAGUUUCAUCGCUGGUUAAAUGCAAAGAGGAUGACAGCAAAUGCCUGAUACACUCAGUUCAAGCAUUUCUACCUACAUUUGCGGUUGGACUACCAGAAUUUCAAAUCGCACCCCUAGACCCCGUGACGCUUAUCAAAAUUAACGCUAGCACACCAGACUUAAGCCUGCUACUGGAAAAUGUGAAAGUUACGGGAUUAAAAGAAUGUCAAGUAAAGAAGUUCGAUUAUAAUGUGAAGAACUCCAAAGUUUUGGCAACAUUUUUAUGCAACAUUAAUGCUGUUGGACAUUAUAACAUGAAAGGAAAACUAAUAAUCGUGCCCAUAGAAGGGGAUGGUCAAUUUGAUGCCAAAAUUAAGAAACUUGCAGUAAUCGUAGAUGCUGAUGUAUCAACCAUACAAAAGAACGGAGUGAAAUAUUUCAACAUCAAAAAUUGGAAACAUAGAUUUGAGCUGAAAGAUAAAACUUCAGUUCACUUUGAAAAUUUGUUUAAUGGUAAC